CAGUUCUGAAUCAGUUCAGCUGAGCUCGCAGUCAGUCGCGACUCACUGAGUGAAUGAUUCAAGUCGUUCAUUCGCAGGAGGAACGGGGUUCGUUCAAGACAGCAAAUACACAGCUGAUUCGGGAUUGGUCUUGGAUUGCAAUCCAGAUAUAAGACAUUAUCAAGAUUGAUAUUAUAUGCAUAGGCUAACAUUUAUUGUUACCGAGUGUGUGCGCACACACACACACACACACUCACACACACACAAUGUUACUGUUUUGAAAAGAGGGCAGCUAUGAGGAUACACUCACAUGUGUGUGUGUCGCUGCUAAUCUGUAUAUAUUCUUUGUCGAUUUGUGGAUUUUAUUGCAUUUUACUGUUUUUAAGCCAGUGUUUCAUGGUCUUCCAACCACUGACCAAACAAAGAUUUGCUGCUCUUUUUUCUUUUUUAUUACUUUUAUCACCUUUUGAACUCAAUUAGCCGUGGAUACACACAAACUGUUUUGGAUUUUAUGCUGCUUGGGACUACAUCCCACCUUUGGCUGGGAAACUAAGGACAAUCUACUCGGAGGCGACCGACAGCCCGGAUACUUGAGGUUUCAUCAAAACCAGAUUGCCUGAUGCCAGCAGUCGAAUUCGUCAUGCACUGUGAUGCGGGAGCGACUGUCAACCACCAGGUGGGGGUGUCGCGCUGCGCUCAUCGGGGCUCAACGGAGGAGCAACGUCUUCGUGCCCGAGAGGACUGGAAGCACAGCAACCUGCAGUACCACGGUGACGCCGCUGGGUGGCGCACGAUGACGUGUUCACCGCCCUCAACUGCACAUGGGGCUUUUCCCCCUCUUGGCUGAGUUCAGACUCAAACUCCCGUCGCACCUGAGUGUGUUUGAAAUAGUGGCUCCUAACUAGGGGGUGGGGGCCCCUGUUACAAGAUAAUAAUCUCUUUGUGUUGUGUCAGGUAUUUUGUACUUAUUAUUCAUACUUAUACAUAUUUAUCUUCCUUUAUAUAUACUAUUAUAACUUUGACAAUAAUGAUUCAAAGGUUUUUGCACUACUGGGCUAAUAUUUUUGCACAAGCCAUGCAUCUGGUCUAUAUAGAGACCCAAGUGAUGCCAAAAUAUCUCAAGUAACCAUGAAAUUGCAGAAUAAUCAAAUACAUUUUUAAACUCAGCACAUUAUGAUGAAAUGCAAUGUCCCCCCCUGCGCUCUUAGGCAGAGCAAGAAGCGCUGGUGUGAGCCUUUAUUUAGUCUUGCAUAUCAGUUUAAACGCUGACCAGCUCAAAACCUCGCCAGCUUUUCGUCAGGGUGGAAAUAGUUAAAAAAAAAAGAAAAGAAAAAGAAAAGAAAGACAAAAGGUUACUUUGAAUAAUCCAAAAUAUGUUGCGGAUUUAAUGUGUAAUGGUAAAUUCUUCCAAUCAAAGGGAGCUUUAAAAGUUUUUUUUUAACCUGUUUCUGACUGAUCAGAGUAUCUCAUCUUAAAAAAUACAAUGAAACCGCUUCAUAUAAACUGGGUUAUUAAAAUGAAUGCGUUUAAAAAUUCUCUGGUAUUUAAAGACAGCAGAUGACCUGCCGUGUACAUAUCACAAUGGUGGGUAUUAAAAGAAACAUUUCAAAAUAAACCUAUAUUAACUAUUGAGCUUGGAAUUACAUUUUUUUUUUUAAUUUUCACAUAGUUCAUGUCAUGUAUCUUUUUCUUGUGCUGCUGCAAGAUGUGAAUUUCCGCCAUGGGGGUCUAGGGGGCGCCGUAACAGCACUUUCCGGUCAGAUGUGCACUCUUCUGUUUUCUGUAUUACACUGGCACUUCACUGAAGAGACAGAAAGUUCUGAAGAUUUAUCUGCGCAGUGGCAGUGAGUGCAGUGUAUUUGAGAAUUAGUACAGCCAUUCCCAAAUAGGCUGCAGUUUGUCUUUUUACUUUGAAGUGAAGGAAUAAGACAUUUGCUAUUAAUGUGUGAGUUUGAUAUGAAUCCUGCAAGAUGCAUUGAUUUAUUUCAUUGAUCUGAUUUGCUCGUUCUGUCAUUGACUGAUUGUUUUCACUGGAUAGCUGAUAGAGAAAUCAGCUGAGCCAAAAGUCCUCUGUUGAUUGACAAAAGCAAAUGAAGAACGUUAUCAAAACAUACCUUUAAAAACAGUGAUACCAAAAAUGAUUUUAGACGAUUAGGAAAAUGUAAACUAAUAUGUCUCGACUUGUGGCUUAUAAAAUGAUAUUUGACAUUUUGGAGAACUACAUAUACAUGUUGUAAAGAGAGAGGAAAUAAAAUAUUUUUCAACACAA